rnacentral:rRNA from 1 species
CCUACGGGAGGCAGCAGUGGGGAAUAUUGCACAAUGGGGGAAACCCUGAUGCAGCGACGCCGCGUGAGCGAUGAAGUCUCUCUGUAUGUUAAGCCCUAUCAGCCGGGAAGAAGAUGACGGUACCUGCCUAAGAAGCCCCGGCUACCUCCGUGCCAGCUGCCGCGGGAAUACGUAGGGGGCAAGCGUUAUCCGGAUUUACUGGGUGUAAAGGGAGCGUAGGCGGCGAUGCAAGCCAGAUGUGAAAGCCCCGGGCUCAACCCCGGGACUGCAGUUGGAACUGUGUGGCUGGAGUGUCGGAGAGGCAGGCGGAAUGCCUAGUGUAGCGGUGAAAUGCGUAGAUAUUAGGAGGAACACCAGUGGCGAAGGCGGCCUGCUGGACGAUGACUGACGUUGAGGCUCGAAAGCGUGGGGAGCAAACAGGAUUAGAUACCCGAGUAGUC